rnacentral:rRNA from 1 species
GUGGGGAAUAUUGGGCAAUGGGCGCAAGCCUGACCCAGCAACGCCGCGUGAAGGAAGAAGGCUUUCGGGUUGUAAACUUCUUUUACCAGGGACGAAACAAAUGACGGUACCUGGUGAAUAAGCCACGGCUAACUACGUGCCAGCAGCCGCGGUAAUACGUAGGUGGCGAGCGUUAUCCGGAUUUAUUGGGUGUAAAGGGCGUGUAGGCGGGACAGCAAGUCAGAUGUGAAAACCAGAGGCUCGACCUCUGGCCUGCAUUUGAAACUGUUGUUCUUGAGUGUCGGAGAGGUAAUCGGAAUUCCGUGUGUAGCGGUGAAAUGCGUAGAUAUACGGAGGAACACCAGUGGCGAAGGCGGCCUGCUGGACAUUAACUGACGCUGAGGCGCGAAAGCGUGGGGAGCAAACAGGAUUAGAUACCCGUGUAGUCC